AAUGAACGCUGGCGGCGCGCCUAAUACAUGCAAGUCGAGCGAGAAGACGUAGCAAUACGUUUGUAAAGCGGCGAACGGGUGAGGAAUACAUGGGUAACCUACCCUCGAGUGGGGAAUAACUAGCCGAAAGGUUAGCUAAUACCGCGUACGCUCCUUGGACUUCGGUUCAGGGAGGAAAGCGAUACCGUGGGUAUCGCGCUCUUGGUUGGGCUCAUGUCCUAUCAGCUUGUUGGUGAGGAACGGCUCACCAAGGCUUCGACGGGUAGCUGGUCUGAGAGGACGAUCAGCCACACUGGCACUGCGACACGGGCCAGACUCCUACGGGAGGCAGCAGUAAGGAAUAUUGCGCAAUGGGCGAAAGCCUGACGCAGCGACGCCGCGUGGGGGAUGAAAGUCUUCGGAUUGUAAACCCCUUUCGGGAGGGAAGAUGGGACGGGCGAACCGUUCGGACGGUACCGUCCAGAAGCAGCCACGGCUAACUUCGUGCCA
rnacentral:rRNA from 1 species